rnacentral:rRNA from 1 species
UAAGUCAGCCACGAAUAGGCUAUCCCAACUAACGGCGGGAAAGACUCCACGGAGGGUGUAAGACCCGUGUGGGCGCGUGUUAAAGCUGUGUGGGCUCGGCCUCCAUUCCCUGAGAGUCGCGUUGCUUGAGCAUGCAGCGCUAAGCAGGUCGUAAACUCGAUCUAAGGCUAAAUAUUUCCACAGAACCGAUAGCGAACAAGUACCGUGAGGGAAAGUUGAAAAGCACUCUGGAGAGAGAGUCAAAAGACCGUGAAACCGCUCAGAGUAUAAGCCCAUGGCAGCUUGGAAGGCAUAUCGCUAGCGGGGCAUCGGUCUCCCUUCGCGGGGAGCUGGUGUUACCUUGCUUCUGUUGUGGCUCGUCAUGGUAGGGGGGUCAGGUCCACAUCCCGCCGUCGUGUGGAGAGUUCUUGGGUGUGUUGUGGUUUCUCGGUUGGCUUCGGCUUUCCGGGGGGCUCUUCGUACUUGGUUCUCUUUUAGACACGGACGUUCAGACUCAGUUGCAAGACGCGAUAACCAGCCCACCACGGCACGUUGUGAGGUCACCCACAGGCUCGACUUUCGAUCGUGAGCCUUGACGCCGAGCAAGCACAAUGCGUGUCGCAGAUGUUCCUAACCAGGCAAUGGUGCCAGGAUCGUGGAACGACACGCGCUCAACAGUCAGGUUCGGGCGGAGACAGAGUUCUGGUAUGAUCCUCUUGCGACGAGCCGGCUUCUGGCCGACAUCCGAUGCUCAGGUCUCCCGCAUGUGCCGCGGGAGAUCGCUUUGACGGUCUGGA